UGUUAUCAAUUGUGAACCACAACGACAUUGGACCAAUGUUAAACUUUAUCGAGCUGUAACUUUGAUAUCCGUUUUUGACAAACCACUAUCUUUUUACCUGCAUACACAGUUGUCAACACAAUCAUGCCAGAAUUAUGGAUAAACUUUAAAAUGGGCAAACGGUGUUUUAAUUCACUGUAUGGUAAACUAUCUGCUUAGUACUUGAGCGGAAUAUAAUUAAUGGUGCUCAACAGAUGCCUCUUCCAUUUACAACAAAACAAGAUCAUGAAACCGUUGUUUGUAUAAUCUCUGUUUUAUUUUCAAUUAUACUUGAAUAAAGGUUGGGAACUGUU